CCAGACUCCUACGGGAGGCAGCAGUGGGGAAUAUUGCACAAUGGGGGAAACCCUGAUGCAGCGACGCCGCGUGAAGGACGAAGUAUUUCGGUACGUAAACUUCUAUCAGCAGGGAAGAAAAUGACGGUACCUGACCAAGAAGCCCCGGCUAACUACGUGCCAGCAGCCGCGGUAAUACGUAGGGGGCAAGCGUUAUCCGGAUUUACUGGGUGUAAAGGGAGCGUAGACGGUUGCGCAAGUCUGGAGUGAAAGGCGGGGGCCCAACCCCCGGACUGCUCUGGAAACUGUGUAACUGGAGUGGAGGAGAGGUAAGUGGAAUUCCUAGUGUAGCGGUGAAAUGCGUAGAUAUUAGGAGGAACACCAGUGGCGAAGGCGGCUUACUGGACUGUAACUGACGUUGAGGCUCGAAAGCGUGGGGAGCAAACAGGAUUAGAUACCCGAGUA
rnacentral:rRNA from 1 species